ensembl:lncRNA
CAACGGUCAAAAUGUGUCUUAACAUAGAAAACCAACGCUUUAUUUGCAAAAGCGAUAUCUUUACCUUCAUAGACCUUGUGUUUGUUUUUGUUCUCACCUCAUGCGGUGUUAUUUUCCCUCUUUUGAUCAUAGUAUGUCUCUCUUUUAGUGCUGUGAGCUCUUCACUGGCGUCUCUGCGGCCUCUGACGGCUUCUGCAGAAGAGAAAACAUCUGUCAGUCAUUUUACAGUUUGUUGUUUUUAGGUGUUAUUCGGCAUUAGUACACCUGCCGUGUAUUCUCUGUAAACCCGAGCUCAGCAGCAGGAUGGUUAUGGCUGCGAUCAGACACCUGUUCAGCGUCACACCUUCCCACGGCGUCUCGAUCUGCGUCAGGUUCUGGAUCGAGAGCGCUCUGCGUAACGACGCUGCUGGACAGGUGAUAAAACACAGGCUCGUACUGGCGCUGGAGACCCGAUGUUCCUGUGGGAUCAUCUUUGGGGCCUGCUGGACGAUUGGAGCUUCCUGCAGGACAGAAGACAGCAGUGAGAAUCACAGACGUCCCGUCACCUUUGACCCCGUAACAGCACGGCUUACCUGCAUUGAGGUGAGAAGGAGUCCCGAGGAGGAGCAGACGGAGAGGACGGUGGUGUGAGAGCGCUGGAGCAUGUGAUUCUCUGGAGGUGAUAUCUCUGAUAUCGCAGGGGUUUCAGUGGCAAGAGUUGCAUCAUGACCGACAUCUAAAGCUGCGACUGAAGCGUCUCUCUCUCAUUCAUGACUGAUUUCACUGUGAUUAGGAGGAGAGACGGACUG